rnacentral:rRNA from 1 species
CCUACGGGAGGCAGCAGUGGGGAAUAUUGGACAAUGGGCGAAAGCCUGAUCCAGCCAUGCCGCGUGUGUGAAGAAGGCCUUCGGGUUGUAAAGCACUUUCAGUGGGGAAGAAAGCCUUGGGGCUAAUACCCUCGAGGAAGGACAUCACCCACAGAAGAAGCACCGGCUAACUCCGUGCCAGCAGCCGCGGUAAUACGGAGGGUGCGAGCGUUAAUCGGAAUUACUGGGCGUAAAGCGCGCGUAGGCGGUCUGAUAAGCCGGUUGUGAAAGCCCCGGGCUCAACCUGGGAACGGCAUCCGGAACUGUCAGGCUAGAGGGCAGGAGAGGAAGGUAGAAUUCCCGGUGUAGCGGUGAAAUGCGUAGAGAUCGGGAGGAAUACCAGUGGCGAAGGCGGCCUUCUGGACUGACACUGACGCUGAGGUGCGAAAGCGUGGGUAGCAAACAGGAUUAGAUACCUGUGUAGUC